CAACCUGCCCCUGACUCUGGGAUAAGCGCUGGAAACGGCGUCUAAUACUGGAUAUGAGCUGCGACCGCAUGGUCAGCAGCUGGAAAGAUUUUUCGGUCUGGGAUGGGCUCACGGCCUAUCAGCUUGUUGGUGAGGUAAUGGCUCACCAAGGCGUCGACGGGUAGCCGGCCUGAGAGGGUGACCGGCCACACUGGGACUGAGACACGGCCCAGACUCCUACGGGAGGCAGCAGUGGGGAAUAUUGCACAAUGGGCGAAAGCCUGAUGCAGCAACGCCGCGUGAGGGAUGACGGCCUUCGGGUUGUAAACCUCUUUUAGCAGGGAAGAAGCGAAAGUGACGGUACCUGCAGAAAAAGCGCCGGCUAACUACGUGCCAGCAGCCGCGGUAAUACGUAGGGCGCAAGCGUUAUCCGGAAUUAUUGGGCGUAAAGAGCUCGUAGGCGGUUUGUCGCGUCUGCUGUGAAAUCCCGAGGCUCAACCUCGGGUCUGCAGUGGGUACGGGCAGACUAGAGUGCGGUAGGGGAGAUUGGAAUUCCUGGUGUAGCGGUGGAAUGCGCAGAUAUCAGGAGGAACACCGAUGGCGAAGGCAGAUCUCUGGGCCGUUACUGACGCUG
rnacentral:rRNA from 1 species